CCCUUAGAGUUUGAUCAUGGCUCAGAACGAACGCUGGCGGCAUGCCUAACACAUGCAAGUCGAACGAAGGCCCUAGCUUGCUAGGUGUCCUUAGUGGCGAACGGGUGAGUAACGCGUGGGAAUCUGCCAUAGAGUGGGGAACAACUUUUGGAAACGAAAGCUAAUACCGCAUACGCCCUCCGGGGGAAAGGCUUCGGCCGCUCUUUGAUGAUCCCGCGUCUGAUUAGCUUGUUGGUAGGGUAACGGCUUACCAAGGCGACGAUCAGUAGCUGGUCUGAGAGGAUGAUCAGCCACACUGGGACUGAGACACGGCCCAGACUCCUACGGGAGGCAGCAGUGGGGAAUAUUGGACAAUGGGGGAAACCCUGAUCCAGCAAUGCCGCGUGAGUGAAGAAGGCCUUAGGGUUGUAAAACUCUUUCGCCGGUGAAGAUGAUGACUGUAGCCGGUAAAGAAGCCCCGGCUAACUCCGUGCCAGCAGCCGCGGUAAUACGGAGGGGGCUAGCGUUGUUCGGAUUUACUGGGCGUAAAGCGCACGUAGGCGGCAUAUUAAGUUAGAGGUGAAAGGCCUGGGCUCAACCUAGGAACUGCCUUUAAUACUGGUAUGCUUGAGUUCGGAAGAGGGUAGUGGAAUUCCAAGUGUAGAGGUGAAAUUCGUAGAUAUUUGGAAGAACACCGGUGGCGAAGGCGGCUACCUGGUCCGAUGCUGACGCUGAGGUGCGAAAGCGUGGGGAGCGAACAGGAUUAGAUACCCUGGUAGUCCACGCCGUAAACGA
rnacentral:rRNA from 1 species